AUGGCCAUAUCACAUUGAAAUAUUGGUUCUCAUAUGAUCACCAAAGUUAAGCAACAUCAAACCUGGUCAGUACCUAGAUGGAUGACCACUUGGGAAUAUCAGAUGUUGUAAG